rnacentral:lncRNA from 12 species
CCCCCCCCCCCCCCCCCCCCCCCCCCCCCCCCCCCCCCCCCCCCCCCCCCCCCCCCCCCCCCCCCCCCCCGGGCGGCCGCGGAAGCCCUGGGCGGGACGGGCCGCCCCGCCUCGCUCCGCUCCCGCGAGGGCAGCUCCGGGCGGGUCGCUGACCUCCGGGCGGGUCGCUGUCCUCCGGCCGCCCUGCGAGAGCAGCCGCGCCCUGUACCGGCCCGGCCCGGCCCGGCCGGGAGCAGCGGCGGUGUCCCUGCCCCAGGCUUGGCCGGUUUGCUGCCUGUUUGCCGAGUGUCCUAGGCUGGCUCAAAUCACCUACAUCGUUCACCUCCUAGCAGAAAAUCCCGUGGAUAGCUGGUCAUGAAACUUUGCAGUGCAGAAACGGAGGAAGCCAUAACCAAAACAUGAAGAGACAGAGACCUGGCUGACAAAUGGUAAGGGAGUCAGAGAUGAGACACAAAUUAGACAGUCAUACUAACUGAUGAAGAAUGUUUAUUUCAGUAUGAUUAUCUGAUCAAAGGUCUUGUCAAGUGAGAU